ensembl:lncRNA
AUGUGGAAAGCCCCCAGCUGGACCGUUGCAGUGAUCAGGGUCCACGGCACAGAGUGUGCCACUGCUUCAUGCUCAGCUGACACCAGCCCCUCCUUUUGCCACCCCCCACCCCGCCCAGACCCUGCCGCACAUCUGUGGUUGACAAUGUGUCUGAGCUCACAUUUUGGCUCUGCGGUGGCAUUGUCAUGGGAGCUGAGCACAUGCCCUGAGGGUUAUAAACAAGGGGGCUCUUCAGCAACAAAUAUUAAAGAGAAAAGAAAAGCUGUUUGUUUUUCUCUGUUAUUUUUGGUCCCCCAGGAUUCCUUCUCAAAGCUUCAUGAAGACCCUCUGGUUCUGUUCACCUAAAGGGAAGCUCAGAGGCUUCUCCAGAGAUAGACGGCCGGGGAGCCUCUGUCCUGGGGGCCAGUGUGCCCCCGCCAAGUUGUCUGCCCUCAGACCUUUGUCCAAAUCCCCGGUGAGGGGCAGCAGAGUGUGGAGGUAGCCCAGGACUCUGGGGUCACCAGUAGGAGACGCAGUGCCCUGGAUCAGUCCAGCAGGGCAGUGGUCCCUGCUGUCCACGGUUGAAAGAGCCCAGUGUCGCUGGGGGGAGUCACGGGAUGAUGGGGGAGUCCAUAGGGUGCUCCCACCUGCAGGCAGCUCUGCUCUCCAUCUUCUCUCUCCAUCCUCAGGCUUCGGAAGGUCCCCCUCUGGGCUUGUCUUCCUUGAAUUGGCCCUUCCUCACUUUGGGGUCCUUUAGGGCUUCGGUGCUAACAGGUUAGUUUCGAUUACAGUGCUUAUCCAGGGGACCACUUGCCCUCUGUGGGCCUGCGUGGGGUCACACAGAAGGCUGGACACAAGCCAUUGUUUGUUCAGAGCGUCCACAGACAGGAGACAUCUUCCUUCCAAAAUACACAGUGAUGCUACUUGCUUUCUGUCAGUGGAGUGAUGGAAACCUGGUCCGGCAGAGAUAUUUUAUCUUGUUUUAUUUUAUGCUGGGAGGCAUGUGGGAUCCUUGGGUUUCCCCAGUGGCUCAGCAGGUAAAGAAUCUGCCUGCAAUGCAGNNNNNNNNNNNNNNNNNNNNNNNNNNNNNNNNNNNNNNNNNNNNNNNNNNNNNNNNNNNNNNNNNNNNNNNNNNNNNNNNNNNNNNNNNAAUCCCAUGGACAGAGGAGCCUGGCGGGCUACAGUCCAUGGGAUUGCAGAAUCAGACAUGACUGAGCAAUUGAGCACAGAGAGAAAUAGAUAAUGCCUGUAACUAGCCUAGUGUUUGGAUUCCUAUUUAAAAUUUCAGAAAAUGAAGCAAUCAGCUCUAAAGGGGAGAGAAUGACUUCAUCUCUGUUAUUUGAGGAAAGGUAGGAAUUUGUCAUAAGGAGGAACCGUGAUUGGCAGGAAGCUGGACGGAUGAAACCAAGGGUCCCUCUGUCUCUGGCUUUUAUAGGUUUUCCUGACAUUAUGAAGAUGUGUGUGUCUCAGGGAAAUAAUUUGAUACAGUUUUAAGGUAGAUGAGUGAAUUUUCCUUGUUUGUAGAACUCCAGGCCAAAGGACAGAAAGGGCUUGGCCUCUCUUCUGCUAACCUCAGCCUGUUUCAGGAGACAUCUGUAUGUACGAACAUUGAUUAUUCAUAAGUUUUCUUUUAAAAAGAAAAACCUGCAGAUCCCAUAGGAUCUGUCAGGACUAAGGGACUGUUUGGGCACAACUGGUUAGUAGUCAUCAGUAAAUGUAAAAUGAGUGUAUGAUUGACUUAUUUUAAAGGUACUGCAAUUUCACCUCAUCUCAAACACUCAAGGCUAAGGAAAAUCAGUUCCUUUUCUAAAUGUUAAAAAAAAAAAAUUCGAAUAAGAUGUUGCUUGGCUCACAUAUCACAAAAAAGGGACACAUAUGCCACAAAGUCACAAUUAUCUAUUUAUUCCAGGAUUAGACACAGGACUGGACCGAGAACAGAUUAAAAUGACUUGACUUCAUUAGCUUAAUUAGGGAGUUCCAAAUUAGAUUUUUUGCAGCUAAAUUCUUCAACCGGGCAGAGUGAGCAGCUGUUCCCAGGCGCCGGCCUCAAAAGGAGAGCUCACCCGGCCGUCUGGCUAGCCCCUGGCCCUCCCCAAGCUCAUCUCCGCGGACCUUCUGCAGGCCACCCAGGGGGCCACACCCCGUGAUCCUGGCGCUUGGACCCAUAGUGCCGCCGCCAACAAUGUUUCCAGGAGACACCCUACUGACCUUUUCUGUUACUCCUGGGACCUUGAGCUCUGCAGCAAGGCUGGCUACAGAGUCUGUGGGGUUCAGUGCAAAAUGCAAAUGCAGGGCUCCCCUGUGCAAAAAGUAUUAUCAAUUUCAAGAUGCAAUGAUGGGCCAUUAGCCAGCAAGGCCCUGUGAUUCUGGCCAUGCCAUGAAGCUGGCGCUGCUCUGUGGAAUGACCUAGACACAACCUACCAUCUAAGCUCUGGUUGCUUCUCUGUCUCUCUUUCCAGGUCCUACCACACCCUUCUACUAAGGAAGGAGGCUGAGGUCUCUAGUAAGUAUGUUUUGCACAUAACGCAUGCAUCCUUGGAUUAUUUACUGGGUAAGCACCUUUUUCUAUAUCUUUGAUGUACAUAAAGACAGCAAGGUACCAGGGAGGCAUAAAGUUGGAGGUUGGGAUUAAUAUAUACACACUAAUAAUGAAGAUCCCCUGGAGAAGGGAACGUCUACCCACUCCAGNNNNNNNNNNNNNNNNNNNNNNNNNNNNNNNNNNNNNNNNNNNNNNNNNNNNNNNNNNNNNNNNNNNNNNNNNNNNNNNNNNNNNNNNNNNNNNNNNNNCCAGUAUUCUUGCCUGGAGAAUUCCGUGGACAGAGGAGCCUGGAGGGCUAAAGUCCAAGGGGUCACAAAGAGUGGGACAUGACUGAGCGACUAACACACACAGUUCAUGUUAUCAUAAGCAUUUUCCCAUGUCACGAGAAAUUCCUCACACACUAAUGUAAGGAGGGAAAUGUAUAUUAUUAGCAACUGAUACAAGAAUUCCUUCUAGGGAAAAAAUUGCCUCCUUUUGGGGGAAAAAGCUCUGGAGAAGCAUGGGGACUGACCUGUCUGUUGCAUCAGGGAAUUGAGAGUGGGCUGGUGCCCAGCAGCCUCACCUGAGCCCCUUUGCACAUCCCCACAAUGACAGUAAGGUCACCCAAAGCAUGAAGUACUUGGGGGACUGGGGAAGCUGAGUUUGGGCAGCCCCAGACAGGGGACAUAGACAGAAAAAAGCAUCUGAGAGGAAGGAAAUACUUGAUCAUUUACACGAUUAUCAGGAAAUCAUUGCAUUUUCAACAGUUGUGGAGAGUCAGAACAUGUAUUAACAUGGAUACCUAGGUCAGCAAGUGAGGGCCUCUUAAGUCCGUAAGCUGAGGUCAGGUCUACAUCCACCAUGGUCUUUUGCUGGUUGCCUAGCAUUCCAUUCAACAGCCUGCAUGUGUGCUCAGCCGCUAAGUCCACAUCCGACUGUUUGUGACCCUCUAGACUAGUCCUCCAGGUUCCCCCAUCCAUGGGCUUUUCCAGGCAAGAAUACUGGAGCGGGUUGUCAUGCCCUCCUCCAGGUAUCUUCCUGACCAAGGGAUCGAACCUGGUCUCCUACAUUGCAGGAGGAUUCUUUACCACUGAGCCACCAGGGAGGCCCUUCCAUUCAACAGCAAUAUCAUUUUAAUAACACUUUGAACAUCUUUGUGUGUGGAUGAGUUCCUUGGACUUUGCACUCAGUUGUGUCCGACUCUUUUGUAACACUAUGAACUAUAGCCUGCCAGGCUCCUCUGUCCAUGGGAUUCUCCAGGCA